GGGGAAAAAUUAAUAAUUAAUUAUUAAUAUUUAAUAAAAUUAAUUUUAAUUUAAUAAUAUAGGGGGUUUAAGUAUUAUUUAAAGAAAAAAUUAAUAAUUUUAUAGUGUAAUAGUAUUGUGAAAGAAUUAUGAAAUAUUUGAAAAUAAAUUUAUUAGAAAGUAAUUUUUAUUUAAUGUAUCUUGUGUAUCAGAGUUUAUUAAAAAUUUUUAAUUUAUAAUUAAUUUCUCGAAUUUAAAAGAGUUAAAUAAUUAUUAAAUUUAAUGUAGCAAAAUUAUUUUAAAUAAUUAUUUAGAAAUGAAAUGUUAAUCGUUUUUAAAUAUAUCUAGUUUUUUUAGAAAAAAAUUUAAUUUUAAAUUUAAUAUUAUAAUAAAAUUAAUUGAUUAAUUUUAUUAAAAUUAAAUUUUAUAUUUUAAGGGAUAAGCUUUAAAUUAAAUUUUUAUAAUAAUAUAAUAAAUUUAUUUGAAAAUUUUAUAAUUUAUAUUGUUAAUAAAUUUUAAUUUAUUAUUAAUAAUUUCAUUAAAAAUAAAAUUUAAAAUUUUAUAUUUAAUUUUUUAUAAAAAAAAUAUAUUUUAAUAAAAUUAAUUUAGAUAUAAUGAUAAAAUUAGUAUAUAAAAUAUUUUAAUUAUGAAAUUUUUAUUUUUAAUUAAUUAAUUAAAAGGAAUUCGGCAAAUAUUUAUUUUCACUUGUUUAUCAAAAACAUGUCUUUUUGUGGUUUAUUUAAAGUCUAAUCUGCCCACUGAUAAAUAUUAAAGGGCUGCAGUAUUUUGACUGUACAAAGGUAGCAUAAUCAUUAGUCUCUUAAUUGGUGACUUGUAUGAAAGAUUGGAUGAAAAAUAUACUGUCUCUUACUUAAUUUAUAUAAAUUAAUUUUUUAUUUAAAAAGUUAAGAUAAACUAAAAAGACGAGAAGACCCUAUAGAGUUUGAUAAAUAUUAUUUUAAUUUAAUUAUUUAUAUUUUAUUGAUUUUUAUAAUUAUAUUUAUUUUUUUGGGGUGAUAAAAAAAUUAAAUUAACUUUUUUUAAUUAUAAACAUAAAUAAGUGAUUAAAUGAUCCAAUUUUAUUGAUUAUAAGAUUAAAUUACCUUAGGGAUAACAGCGUAAUUUUUUCUUUUAGUUCGUAUAAUAGAAAAAGUUUGCGACCUCGAUGUUGGAUUAAGAUAAAAUUUAAAUGCAAAAGUUUAAAAUUUUUGAUCUGUUCGAUCAUUAAAAUCUUACAUGAUCUGAGUUCAAACCGGUGUGAGCCAGGUUGGUUUCUAUCUUUUAGAAUAUAUAAUAUUUUAGUACGAAAGGAUCAAAUAUUAUAAUUAAUAUUAUUAAUUAUUUUGAAUUUUAUUAAAUUAAAAUAAAAUAUUUAAAUAUAAAAUUUAAUAAAUUUAUUUUCAAAUAAAUUAAAUUUUUAAUUAUAUAUAUAUAUAUAUAUAUAUAUAUAUAUAUAUUUAUGUAUAUAUAUGAUAAUAAAUUGUA
rnacentral:rRNA from 1 species